GACAUAUUAUUUUUGCCCUGUCUGUUUGUUGGUUUGUUGUGUCAAACAUUAACAUUUGCCAUAACUUUUGCAAUAUUGAAGAUUAUAUAUAGCAACUUUAUAUUUGGCAUGCAUGUGUAUCUCAUAGAGCUGCACAUUUUGAGGAGUGAAAGGUCAAGGUCAUCGUUCGAGGUCAAAGGUCGAAUAUAUGAGGGCAGGGCUCGCGCUGUCGUUCGCCACUUGAGCCAUUUGCGAAAAUAUUGAGAAUUUGGCUCAAGAAAAAUCCGAUUUGCGAAAAUGCUAAAAUCUCGUAAAAUUUCAUUGAAAACAGCCGCCAUUUUAACCCGAAACUGGUUUUCUAUAUUUUUCUCUUUGUUUCAAUGAAAGUAUUCGCAAUUUGAACCAUGAACGAAAACCGGUCUGCACCUGUAUCGAGACAUCGCUUGACCUUAUUGUUAUUGAAGUGCACAUGGUAGCUGGCCAAUCAAAACUGAGCUGGCUUACACAUGAAAUGACGUUGUUGAAUGAAACGUAAAAAUGGGUGGAGCUAUGAAUACACAGUUAAUAUUGUCGUCUGCAAACAAAAUAGCGGAUGGUCGCAAAUGUCGUAUUAUAAGAUUAAAAAUGAAAAUAAGCGUGACAAUAAAUUAAUUGUUUCCAAGCUGACUAUCGAUCCAAAUUAAAGAGUGAUAAUUAAAUAAUUAGUUCUAUGUCGUUGAUGUUACAACUUUCUGCCGAUUUCCGAUUGAAAUGAAAAGGUGUUCAUUAAUAAUUUGAUCGUUUUACUCACACACUAUGAUAACUAACAGCGGCGUAUUUUAAUCAAAGGAAAACGUGAAAAACACGCGCGGUUUAAUUGCAAUUAAAAUUUAAUUAAAGUUACGAAUUUGUAACGCAUAGGAAGACUAAUUCAUGUCGUCUACUAUAUAAAUGGAAGAUACCAAUUUGUCUGUACAGUCGUUAACAUGACUUCUUUAACCUUAAAGCGUCCUUUGGACGAAAAUGAGUCUGAACAAACAAACAAAAUAAUUAAAACACAAAAACUAGAGCAUUCCAAGAGUCAUGGAAAGUUGAUAAUAAUUGGCUUCGCUUUGAGAAUGAAUCAAAAUCAAUGUACUGUGACCUAUGCAUUAAGGUGCAGAAUUCCAACACGUUCACUGUAGGUUGCAAUAUCCUGAAAAAAGACUCGGUGACGAAACAUGCAAAGUCUAAAGAUCACACUCAUGCCGUCGAUGCCAGCAAGCAGUAAAGCAGCAAAACAAUGUAUUUUGUGAAUGAAAUGUAUGCUUGUAUUUUACAUGCCAUUCAUCAUGUUGUUAAAAAUGCGCUGUAUUAAAAUAUCUUUAUUACUAUGACAAUUGUGAUUUGAUGUAUAUUAUAAUAUGUGACAUGUGCUUGUUGUCAUUAAAAGAAAUAUGAAAAAUC